AGCCUUCUGUAUCCGUGCUGAGAUUUCGUCACACACCAGACCACAAGAGCUCAAGAGACUUCCAAGAUCAGCGAAGCG
rnacentral:pre_miRNA from 1 species